UUUGUUUCCUACAAAGAGAUAAAAUGGUCUCAUACUGAGCAAAAGAAGGCGGCGAUGACACAAACGACCACUAGGUGGCGACAAACGCCACCUGGAGGAGGAGUGUUUGUACUUCAGUGACACUUCACUGUCCAGGUUUUGAAAUACACACCAACCACAAACCAAAGGCCGCACACUCUCACCUGUGACUGAUUCAGUUCAGUCACCCUCCACUAAACCCCUUUUCUUUUCUUUUUUUUUACAGUAGACACUUGAACGUGUCACAGUAGGAAAACCUACCCGAGGUGUUUUUAAUAGCAUUAAUGAUGGCUCCAGUUCAUUCAGGUGAUUCAUGACAGUUUAUAAGUGACCCGGGGGAAAAAAAGCAGCUACAUGGAAUUCAGCCAUGAAUUAAUUUUAUUAUUUACACCUGCAGCUUUUCCUGCUGAGACCCGUCCAAAUAAAAGUAAAAGCCUGAUACUGAAUCAUCACUGUGACUUGUGAAGUCUAUUAUUUCUUUUCAGCCAUACCAUCACCGUACCUGUCAAUACAGAAAUAUUUCCACUGCCAUCGGAUUGAUCGCCAUGAAAUUUAGUACAAACAUACCUGAUCUCCAGAGGAUGAACCCCAAUGCUGUUUGGUGAUGACACGCCUUUUUCUCUAGCGCCACCGGCAGGUCAAAGUUCUCUGUCGUGCUGUGAAAUAGCUCAACAAUUUACUCGGCGGACUGGCACAUCAUUCGGUGCGGACAUUUGUUCUCCCUGUAAAUGAUUCUGGAUAACUAUAACCGAGAGACUUGAUCAGGUCACUCCCGUUCCAGCCUCUUUACACCGGCUCCCAGCAUGUUUUAGAAUUCAUUCAUGAUUUGAGUGAUUCAUUUCAAAGCCUGUCUCCAUGUUCUAAAUCUGACCUUUUGGUAGCCUAUACUCAGCGGCUCGUACCUUGAGAUCCUCGGGCAGCGGCCCGCUAUCUGUUCCAGAAACCGGGCUGAAAACUGAAGAGGAGAGAGCGUUUGCUGUCAGGGAGCCAAAACUCUGGAACGAUCUGCCGCAGGAAAUCAGACGAUGUCCAUGAAGCCGUACAUGCCGUAGCAGAUUUGGAAGAGCAGGUCCUGGCGCUGCCACUUGGCAGAGGGGCUGAGGGAGGACCAGAUGAGCCAGGAGAUGCUGGCGAUGAGGAACAGGGAUCCCAGGAUGAUGGCGGCUAUCUGCACCUUCUCAAUCACCGUGAGAGAGAUGGCCUGCCACUGGAAAGGAGGAGGAAAGAAAAAUAAGGGGUGGAUGACGUGCUCGGAUCCCUUACUUAGGUUCCGGGGGCCGUUGGCUGCCUGUGCGAAGGAGGGCAGACGGACGAUGACGCAGUGGCAGAAAUGUGUCAGCACAAUAUGGCAAACGGUCCUCAACAACACAGCGACGGCCCGAGAAUUAUUGGCCGAGAUUCCGUGGACGGAGCCCUGCCAGUUCUCACCUCGUGACACAAAGGGUGACCGAGCGUCUGCCGUCAGAGCCCCCACAUUGUGGAACUCGCUGCCCAUCGAACGGAGAGGACGGAGAUUACGCAAAAACUCCGUUACGGAUUUCCAGGAAACUUGGUGGAAGGAUGGGCCAAGAAAGAAUCCAUUUCAUUUUGAGAAGGCUCCAGACAAAGUGGAGGAUCCAGGAUUUAAAAAAAACCAUUUUCUUUAUCCUGAGAUAGGGUGUUUUUUUGUUUUUUUUUGUCAUUUUCAUAGAUUUUCCAGAGAAUCAUUCAUGGAUUUCGAUGAUCUUGAUGAUGGCAACUGAUAUCUCAUCAACAAGGGGCCCCCACUGACACCUCCCUUCCUUCCCCGUGGACAUAACACGUCAUAUUAACGUAAUCCACCACACACACAUUUAGCCAUCUGUGACCCCGAUAUUUAUGGUAAAUUUACUGUAAAUAGUGGGAAUUUUAUUUCAUUUGAUCUUAUUUUAUUCUAUUUUAUUUUAUUUUAUUCUAUAUUCUUUUUACUAAUUCUGUGUAUAUAUGUUGACUGCUAAAUGCACCUUAAUAACACCAAAGAAAAAUUCCUCAUUUGUAACCUGUUACUUACCUGGCAAUAUAACUGAUUCUGAUUCUGAUCUGUGCGUGUGUGCAAUGUGGUGUGGAUCCAAAAAAAAAAUCUGGAUGUAGCAGAUUUAAAUUUGGAUUCAUUAGGGGACUGUUGGGACCUGGCGUUAGGUAUGCACUCUAAUGAGUGACAUUCUAUUACUGCUAUUAUUAUCAAUAUCAAUAUCUUAUCAAACUAUAUUUAUUCUGAAUCCCAUUCAGAAAGCAUGUUGGAAGUGUUUUCUGUUUGAAAGCCGUGUGAGUCAGAUUCAUCUGGACGGGCUCAGUAGAAAUGCUGCAGGCCAUGUUUUCCCAAAGAUGUUUUUUUGUGUUUUUUUGCUGUUUAUGUUUUAUGCCUGGUGCGGCUUCCCUGCGUGUUACCUGCAGAGGGUUCUUGGUGCUGAUGGCCAGGACCUGGUACUUGAAGUAGCAGAGCUCGCAGCUCCAGGAGCCUCUCUCGCUGAUCCAGCGGAUGAGGCAGGGCUGGUGGGUGCAGCGCACCGAGCCGUCGCAGCGGCAGGGGCUCAACAGCUCGCCCUGCAGGACAGACGACGGGGAAACACAGCAAGAUGGAUUCAGUGGGAAACACUCAAGAUGCUGUUAGAAUAUUUCAAAUGGAUUCUGAGCUAAUUUCCACGAGCGACAUAUGUGGAUCAUAAUCACUCAGAGAGCUGAAGUGCUGUUGGCGAUGAUGCUGGUCACAUGCUACGAGUGCACGAGCAGAUCGGCAGGUAGGCCAACCAAUCAGGUCGUCCAGGACUAAUGGAAUAACUGGAUGAGCCUCUUACAGCCCAAUGACAGGUUUCAUUUUAUUUUAUUCUAUUUUUUUAAUCAGGAUGCAAAGGUGAUUUCAAGAUGAUUUCAAGAGACAUAGAAACAAGUCUUCUGAAAUGUCCCCUAUUCUUCCUUUUAAGGGAGUUUAGUUUUACGAGGAAAGUGAACGCUGUAAAUGUAGUCAUUGUUUUGUGUUAGAAUUUAAUCCCACUGCAGUUCUCUUCAUUUGAAAAUCCUGCUCUUCCCAAACAAGUCAAACUAAUAUUUAUUAUAUUAUUAUAACCCCCCCUCACCCCUCGUUUUUUUUCUGACCUCCCCUCCCACGCCCGAUCAUUUUCACACAGUCCCUAAGAGACAGGUGCAUGUUGCUUUGGGGGCCACUGUCUCUUCAGUGCCACUGCAGCACCUGAAGCCUGUUGGCACGUUGGUCACAUUUCAGGAUGACCACAUUUCAGGCUGUCACCGCCAUUCAACGUCAAACAUCCACCUCGAAAAUCAGCUUUGCACGCUUUGCACGAGAAACCUCAUUUCAACUUCGUGGAAAGCAAAAAAAAAAACAAAACUUAAAAAGCACUCCAUUGAAUGAAAAACAACAUCGGCGGAGUUUUGUAAACCAGUGACUGGGCACAGCUUGAUGCGAGGCCCAGUUGGCGAAGCUGGGGCAUGUUAGCCGUCGGCAGCGACAGCAGGGAGCGAGCGGUGAGGCUUUCAAGGGCAGGCAGGUGAAGGAGAGAAGAGCUGCUGAAGCCUGACGGCGAUUCGCACGAGCGCUGAGUAAAACGCACAACAAAAACGUUCGCCCCUGAGAUUACAGAAAGGUCUGGAAGACAUCAAACAUUCACAACGGUUAUCAGGUAGGUGGAAGAGUUCACGUCGGUGCAUUUGACUUCAAAAGUUGUGAUUUUGAAAAGCUAAAACUGGUCCGAGAUAUAGAAUAGGGACUAAAUUCCCCUAAUGAAAAAUGUCUGUAUCGUAGACUGUAUAUAAAGAUGAACGAAGUUCGGAAAAUGGAGCCGAUUUAAGUUCCUGACGCCUGUAUUCUCUCGAUUGACCAGCAGGGGGGGGCGACUUCACUGGUUACAAAAAAGAAGUCUGUUUCUAUAGACGUCUAUGAGAAACUGACUCUACUUCUCACUUGACUAAUAACGUCCGUACGAACUCCUGAGGAGUCUAAGUCUUCUCUCGUGCGGCAUGAUGUUCAUUUUUGGAUAAAGCACGGUGUGCAAUAGUGCAUGGAUACAGCGUGAUUGACAGCUAGUACCGUCCAAUCGGUGCACGGGUGCAGGUGUAGGUGGCCGCGCAGUGGACCCCACCGUCCUCGCAAUUGGUAACUUCCAAAAACACCAAGAUGGCGCCGGUCAAAAUGCUGUAUGCUGUGAAAUGUGCCGCUACAUCCAGAGGAGAUGGUUACUUUAGUUCAGCGUGAGCACUGGAAGCAGCGGGGAGGACCAGCUACAGUUAGCCUAGCGCCACCUCUGAAGCUCACUGACACCUCAUUCGUUUGAAAGGACUUCAGGCAGCCGCUGCUCGUAGCCAAGAACUGGUCUGGCAUAAGCCCACAAAUCACUGCUUUUGCACCUAUCGAGUGAAUAAUCUCAGUAUCAGAAGGUUAAGAGACAUUAAUCGGCUGGUUUUUUGGCGACGGGCAAACUGUUUACCCCUGUUUCUGGUCUCAAUGCUGCACUAAGAUUAACUCAUUAUCUCCUGGCUGCAGACAUCGUAUUAUCUAAAUGUGCAAGAAAGCAAAUAAUGUCUUUACCAAAAACCUUUCCUGAACCCCUAUACUGUACAUGUCAAGGUAACAAAUGGAUGAAACGGUGUAAUUGUUACUGGAAACAAAGACAUUGCCCGACACAGAUUAUUACCAUGGACCAGAUUAACGUCCUGAGGGGCCCCAGGUGGAACAUUGUGUCGCUGGGCUCCUCUUUUACGGGAUUUAGUGGCAUUCAGGCCAUUUGUAAAAAAUGUGACAGAGCGGAAGAGCCUCUUUGGAGCCAGGGUUUUGUUUUGUCUCUUCUGGGUUCUGGAGAAACAUGGCGGACUGCGCCUAGAUACAAAGGGCUCAUUCUCAGGUAAUGAGAACACAAUUAUUCUUGGUCUCAGGUGACUAUACAAUAAUGAAAACAUAAUAACUAAUUUUCUGAUCUGAUCCCUAAAAUACUGGGCCUCUGAACCCCUGAUUUGGGGGAUAAUGACGGACAUUUCCCACUGUUGCCUGACACUUUGUACACGGAACAACCAAGUUGAAUAGAUAAUGAAAAUAAUUGGCCGAUUUGAGUUCUUAUAUGAUGGAAUAUUAUGUCACAGGAGGUUUUCUGGGCGCUAAUUACUCGAAACACAGCAUAUGAAAAUGAUCAGAGGGGCGAUGCAUACCCUGUGCACAUGUUGUAAAUAAGCUACUAUGUACACACUAUAUAUUACAUAUAUAUAUAUUUGCCCAGCCACAGUUACAAAAUGAUAUGAAUUUUUGUUU